AGAGUUUGAUCCUGGCUCAGAAUCAACGCUGGCGGCGCGCUUAACACAUGCAAGUCGCACGAGAAAGGGAGCAAUCCUAAGUAAAGUGGCGUACGGGUGAGUAACACGUGGAUCAUCUACCUUUUAGUGGGGAAUACCUCCUGGAAACGGGAGACAAUACCGCAUAAGCUCGAGAGAGGAAAGCGUCGUUGUCAAAGACGACGCGCUGAAAGAGGAGUCCGCGGCUGAUUAGCUAGUUGGCGGGGUAAUGGCCCACCAAGGCGAAGAUCGGUAGCCGGCCUGAGAGGGCACACGGCCACACUGGCACUGAAACACGGGCCAGACUCCUACGGGAGGCAGCAGUGGGGAAUCUUGCACAAUGGAGGAAACUCUGAUGCAGCGACGCCGCGUGAGCGAUGAAGCCCUUCGGGGUGUAAAGCUC
rnacentral:rRNA from 1 species